UNUGACUUGAGUGCAGAAGGGGAGAGUGGAAUUCCAUGUGUAGCGGUGAAAUGCGUAGAUAUAUGGAGGANCACCAGUGGCGAAAGCGGCUCUCUGGUCUGUCACUGACGCUGAGGCUCGAAAGCGUGGGUAGCGAACAGGAUUAGAUACCCUGGUAGUCCACGCCGUAAACGAUGAGUGCUAGGUGUUAGGCCCUUUCCGGGGCUUAGUGCCGGAGCUAACGCAAUAAGCACUCCGCCUGGGGAGUACGACCGCAAGGUUGAAACUCAAAGGAAUUGACGGGGGCCCGCACAAGCGGUGGAGCAUGUGGUUUAAUUCGAAGCAACGCGAAGAACCUUACCAGGUCUUGACAUCCCGAUGCUAUUCUUAGAGAUAGGAAGUUACUUCGGUACAUCGGAGACAGGUGGUGCAUGGUUGUCGUCAGCUCGUGUCGUGAGAUGUUGGGUUAAGUCCCGCAACGAGCGCAACCCUUAUUGUUAGUUGCCAUCAUUAAGUUGGGCACCCUAGCGAGACUGCCGGUAAUAAACCGGAGGAAGGUGGGGAUGACGUCAAAUCAUCAUGCCCCUUAUGACCUGGGCUACACACGUGCUACAAUGGUCGGUACAACGAGUUGCGAGCCGGUGACGGCAAGCUAAUCUCUGAAAGCCGAUCUCAGUUCGGAUUGGAGGCUGCAACUCGCCUCCAUGAAGUCGGAAUCGCUAGUAAUCGCGGAUCAGCACGCCGCGGUGAAUACGUUCCCGGGCCUUGUACACACCGCCCGUCACACCACGAGAGUUUGUAACACCCGAAGUCGGUGAGGUAACCUUUUAGGGGCCAGCCG
rnacentral:rRNA from 1 species